rnacentral:rRNA from 1 species
AUUGAACGCUGGCGGAAUGCUUUACACAUGCAAGUCGAACGGCAACACGGACUUCGGUCUGGUGGCGAGUGGCGAACGGGUGAGUAAUACAUCGGAACGUGCCAGUCGUGGGGGAUAACGUAGCGAAAGCUACGCUAAUACCGCAUACGAUCUAAGGAUGAAAGCGGGGGAUCGCAAGACCUCGCGCGAUUGGAGCGGCCGAUGGCAGAUUAGGCAGUUGGUAGGGUAAAGGCCUACCAAGCCGACGAUCUGUAGCUGGUCUGAGAGGAUGAUCAGCCACACUGGGACUGAGACACGGCCCAGACUCCUACGGGAGGCAGCAGUGGGGAAUUUUGGACAAUGGGCGCAAGCCUGAUCCAGCCAUUCCGCGUGCAGGAUGAAGGCCUUCGGGUUGUAAACUGCUUUUGUACAGAACGAAAAGGCUCUGGUUAAUACCCGGGGCUCAUGACGGUACUGUAAGAAUAAGCACCGGCUAACUACGUGCCAGCAGCCGCCGCCG